AGAGUUUGAUCCUGGCUCAGGACGAACGCUGGCGGCGUGCCUAAUACAUGCAAGUCGAGCGAACCGAUCGGAGCUUGCUCCGUGAAGUUAGCGGCGGACGGGUGAGUAACACGUGGGUAACCUGCCUGACAGACUGGGAUAACAUUCGGAAACGAAUGCUAAUACCGGAUAGGCUUUCUGAUUGCAUGAUCGGAAAGGGAAAGAGGCGAUCGCCUCACUGUCAGAUGGACCCGCGGCGCAUUAGCUAGUUGGUGAGGUAACGGCUCACCAAGGCGACGAUGCGUAGCCGACCUGAGAGGGUGACCGGCCACACUGGGACUGAGACACGGCCCAGACUCCUACGGGAGGCAGCAGUAGGGAAUCUUCCGCAAUGGACGAAAGUCUGACGGAGCAACGCCGCGUGAGUGAUGAAGGUUUUCGGAUCGUAAAGCUCUGUUGUUAGGGAAGAACAAGUGCUAGAGUAACUGCUAGCACCUUGACGGUACCUAACCAGAAAGCCACGGCUAACUACGUGCCAGCAGCCGCGGUAAUACGUAGGUGGCAAGCGUUGUCCGGAAUUAUUGGGCGUAAAGCGCGCGCAGGCGGUUUCUUAAGUCUGAUGUGAAAGCCCACGGCUCAACCGUGGAGGGUCAUUGGAAACUGGGGAACUUGAGUGCAGAAGAGGAGAGCGGAAUUCCACGUGUAGCGGUGAAAUGCGUAGAGAUGUGGAGGAACACCAGUGGCGAAGGCGGCUCUCUGGUCUGUAACUGACGCUGAGGCGCGAAAGCGUGGGGAGCAAACAGGAUUUAGAUACCCUGGUAGUCCACGCCGUAAACGAUGAGUGCUAAGUGUUAGAGGGUUUCCGCCCUUUAAGUGCUGAAGUUAACGCAUUAAGCACUCCGCCUGGGGAGUACGACCGCAAGGUUGAAACUCAAAGGAAUUGACGGGGGCCCGCACAAGCGGUGGAGCAUGUGGUUUAAUUCGAUGCAACGCGAAGAACCUUACCAAGGCUUGACAUCCCAUGACUACCCAUGAAAGUAGGGUUGCCCUUCGGGGCCAUGGAGACAGGUGGUGCAUGGUUGUCGUCAGCUCGUGUCGUGAGAUGUUGGGUUAAGUCCCGCAACGAGCGCAACCCUUGUCCUUAGUUGCCAGCAUUAAGUUGGGGACUCUAAGGAGACUGCCGGUGACAAACCGGAGGAAGGUGGGGAUGACGUCAAAUCAUCAUGCCCUUUAUGCCUUGGGCUACACACGUGCUACAAUGGGUUAUACAGAGGGCGGCGAGACCGCGAGGUGGAGCGAAUCCCUUAAAGUAACCCCCAGUUCGGAUUGUAGGCUGCAACUCGCCUACAUGAAGUUGGAAUCGCUAGUAAUCGCAGGUCAGCAUACUGCGGUGAAUACGUUCCCGGGCCUUGUACACACCGCCCGUCACACCACCCGAAUCUGAUGCACCAGAAGUCGCUGUCCUAACCAUAUGGAGGGAGGCGCCAAAGGUGUGUCCGGUAAGGGGGGUGAAGUCGUAACAAGGUAGCCGU
rnacentral:rRNA from 1 species